AGAGAGAGACAUGCGCGCAUAUCAAUAAGCGGAGGAAAAGAAACUAACUAGGAUUCCCUUCAGUAACGGCGAGUGAAGCGGGAAGAGCUCAAAUUUGAAAUCUUCAAGGUUUUACCUUGACGAAUUGUAGUUUAAAGAAGUGUUUUCUGUUGGAAUUUUGGUAAAAGUUCUUUGGAAAUAGACACCAUAAGAGGGUGAGAAUCCCGUAUUUGACCAUUAUUUCCAGCUUUGUGAUACACUUUCAAAGAGUCGGAUUGUUUGGGAAUGCAGUCCAAAAUGGGUGGUAAAUUUCAUCUAAAGCUAAAUAUUGGCGAGAGACCGAUAGCGAACAAGUACCGUGAGGGAAAGAUGAAAAGAACUUUGAAAAGAGAGUUAAACAGUACGUGAAAUUGUCAAAAGGGAAGCGUUUGACACCAGUGUUGUUUUCUCGAAAAUCAAUUAAAAAUGGCAGGAUUUUGUGUUGUAUUGACCUUAUCAGCUUUCUUCACUCUUUUCUUGUCUUUUUUAAUGCACUUUUCGUUUAACAAGUCAACAUCAGUUUCUUUUGUUGUAAAAGGGUCAUUGGAAGGUGGCUUUCUUUUCGGAGAAAGUGUUUAUAGCCUUUGGCUUCUGCAAUCGGAGAGAUUGAGGUCUGCAGCGUAGAUCCUUCGGGGUUAGAUACAUUUGUGCUAAGUUAUAGCCUUUCAUAGACAACUUGUUGACUAUGAUCAGUCAUGUAGCUUACUCGCUUAUGCUAUUUUACCUACGCUUAGGAUGUUGACAGCAGUAUAGACUGU
rnacentral:rRNA from 1 species